rnacentral:snoRNA from 1 species
ACAACGUGGGUAUCUCAUGAGGUUGCUCUCAUGAGCUCUAUCCUGGUGGCGUAUGGGAGCGUAGCAUCUUAGGGUGCAGUAACGUAUAUUCCCCUUCCACAACGUUGGAGAACAUGCAUGUCCCCGGGCCCUAUGGACUGGUGCGGACAGCGUCCUGUAUAUUCCUACAACUUCCUAGAGCCUUCGGGCAGUGACUGGGGAGACAAACCAUGCAGGAUACAUCU